GGGCCCGUAGCUCAGCUGGAGAGAGCGGCAGCCUUCGGCGCAGAUGUCCCGGGUUCGAAUCCCGGCGGGCCCG
rnacentral:tRNA from 1 species